CUGUGGGUUUGACAUCAUCAUACUUGGGAUGUGCUAACAUUAAAACCCCAAGCAGGUUGAUGUCUGGCCCAAGAUGG
rnacentral:pre_miRNA from 1 species